CAGGAACUUGAAUUUGGCUUCUUGGUGUCUUUUCUCAGGGAAGAGGGGAGGCUGUCACCUGAAGAUGUUGACUCUCCUGCUACUUCUCCUGGGACUAGGCUCUGGAUUCGGUGUUCUCCUCUCUCAAAAGCCAAGCAGAGACAUCUGCCAACGCGGGACCUCUGUGAUGAUCCAGUGCCAGGUCGAUAGCGAGUUCACCUACAUGUACUGGUACCGUCAGCUUCUAGGACAAAGCUUGACACUGAUGGCAGCUGUGGGUCGGGACUUCGAGGCCACUUAUGAGAGUGGAUUUACCAAGGAAAAGUUUCCCAUUAGCCGCCCAAACCUGAUGUUCUCAAUUCUGACCGUGAGCAACGUGAGCUCUGAAGACAGCAGCUCCUACUUCUGCAGCGCUGGAGACACAGUGCUGUGCACAGAUCAAAGGUCUCAACAAGAACGCCAGCUCCCUGCUACAUGCCUCCCCUCUAGGUGGGCCCAAGAAGCCUGAGAGGCAGGCUGGAGGGAGGAAACCACAGCUCUCGGGCAGAUGCAGCUGCUUGUGUGCAGGUGGAGAGGAAUGGGUGUGAGAAGUAAGCUGGGGAUGGGGAGAAAUUCUGUAGGACCAGCUGCAGGGCCGUAUCCACAGAUAGGAAGGGUGGCUACUGGAAGCUGAGGACAAAACUCCUUCCAGAGGAGUGUUUAGAAAUAGCAACAACCAGAUACAGUUUGUCUCCAGGUGACAGCAAUACUCUUUGAGUAUUUUAUCUCAAGCUAUCUUUAGCCUGAUCUCCAUCAGUAUAAUUCAGAAAGCCUUAGUUAUCUUGUUAUCAUAUGGGUCCAUGACGCUGAUGGCAUUAUGCUGAUUGUUCUUGCUGAGUAGAAAUUCAGAAGCCCUCUAGACGCCUCAGUAUGACACACACAUACCAAUCCAAUGAAAAAUCUGCAACCAGAAACUAACGCAGUAUUGUAAAUCGGCUCUCCUUCAAUUAAAAAAACAAAAACAAAACAGCCCUACCAAAAUUCCAAGAUCAGCCACCUUGAUGAGCUUCUCAGCAGUCCAGAGGUAUGGAACAUGUUAGAAUCGCCUCUCCAAAGGGCGAGACAUGCUGCUGCAUCUUAAGUCAUCCACCAUGAAGAAAGAGGGAUGAUGCUUUAUGGAACUCUGGAUUCUGGAAUUAACACACACUACCGCUCUUCGGGUCCAGUUUUGUCACAGAACAAGGCUCUCAUGAAAGCUGCUCAGCUGCCUGGGCCAUGGACCAAGCAGGCUCAGUUGCUCUUGAAGAGGCCAUUGCUAAUAGGGACAUCCUGUGGAGUCCAUGGCAGUCCCCAGUAAGAGAUUCACAAGGCAGAUGCAAAGAGUUUUGGUGUAAUGCCAUACUCUCUGCUACCUGCCAAUG